ensembl:lncRNA
UUUUUUUUUUUUUUUACUGAAGUAUAGUUGGUUUACAAUCUUGUGUUUCAGUCAUACAUAUAUUUUGGGGGGGUGAGUAGUUAGGUUUAUUUAUUUAUUUUUAGAGGAGGCACUGGGGGUUGAACCCAGGACCUCGUGCAUGCUAAGCACGCGUGCUACCGGUUGAGCUAUACCCUCCCCCCAUACGCAUAUACAUUUCUUUCCAUAUUCUUUUUCAUCGUAGGUUACUAUAAGCUAUUGAAUAUAGCUCCCGGUGCUCUGUAGCAGGUAGUUGCUGUUUAUCUGUUUUAUAUACAGUAGUUAGUACCUGCAAAUCCUGAGCUCCCAGUUUACCCCUCCACCCCCAUUUCCCUAAGCUCUUCUUAUAAGGACAUCAUCCUAUUGGAUUAGGGUCCACCCUAAUGUCCUCAUUUUACCUUAAUUACCCCUCUAAAGGUCACAUCUCCAGGUAUAGUCAUAUUCUGAGGUGCUGCAGGUGAGGAUUUCAACAGAUCUGCAUUUUUGGAGGACACAGCUCAGCCUGCAACAGCCCCUGCACCAAGGUCUGACUGACAUUAGCUGGUGGCUGCAGAAAAAGGGCUCCCGGGCGGAGGACCCAGCCCGGGCAAAGGUCCCGAGGCUUGGCCAGGCUUCGCCUGAUCAUCGUCUCACCUGCUGCUCAGACUUACCUCUCUUGGCCCAGACUGAAGAGCCAGGAACCGGGCGAUUCUCGAGGGAAGUGACUGGGCAGAAGAAAACAUCUGUGGCUGCUGAGGUGAGGCUCCUGAGACACCUACAGUUGGGGAGCAGGUCUGCCUCUGGGGAACCUGAGCUAAGACUACGGUGUCCAAGACAAGGAGGGAGGAGCAAAACUACUCCUGCCGCUUCUCCCCCUAUUCUCGAGGGCAGGAACGCUUCCCCUCGCCCCUGCUCAGCUUUGCCUCGCGUCCCAUUGGCCGGAAGUGGAUCACGUGGCUGCGCUUAUGCCAGUUGCGGGUUAGAGCAGGUGGAUUUCACGCCUGUCUCCCUCCAUCCGGUCACGGCUCAGCCCCUGGCCUGAGGAAUUGCUGUGGCUGCCUUUGGACCAUUCAGUCGGCCACAGUCUGCAAGCUGUCCCUGCACAGGCCAGCCAGGUCUGCAGAGGGAGCCCUGGGCCUGUGCUGGAAACCAGCCCUGCCUCUGCUCCCCAUGGACCUGGUUUCCUCAUCUGCAAAAUGGGGCUGAAGAUACCGCCUCUCAGAGGUGAUGAUCUGGAACAGGAAAUGUGGCUGAAAGGUGGUGAUUCAGGGGAGUGGGGUGACAGGGCCUGGCACUGCCCUAACUUCCUUCUCAGCCCCCCUGCAGGCGGUCCCCCACCCCCCUGUCACUGGGGCUGCAGCAGAUGACAUUGAAUUAAACGUGUGCUUUUAACAACUUUGCUGGUUCUGUCUUUCUUCCGUCUCACCUGCCCAACUUCCUGUCUGAGAGCUUAUGGGGCACUGGGGGGCAGUGAGGAUUUAAGAGGGUGGCAUGAGCCAGGGAGGAGACGGACAUACAUUGAGCACCUCCUACAUGCAGGCUCCGGGAGGCUGUGUCCACGUAGGGCUCAGCAACU